rnacentral:pre_miRNA from 1 species
CGAUGCUGAUGACCAUGAUCGUGACCAUGGUGGUGAUCAUGCUCAUGAUGAUGAUGAUGUCCGUGAUCGUGACCAUGGUGGUGAUCAUGCUCAUGA